GACGAAGGGGGCAAGCGUUGUUCGGAAUUACUGGGCGUAAAGGCGAGUGUAGGUGGUUGUCAUAGUCAGGUGUGAAAGCCUUGAGCUCAACUCAAGAAAUGCACUUGAUACUGGGCAGCUAGAGGACCGGAGAGGAUAGUGGAAUUCCCAGUGUAGUGGUGAAAUACGUAGAGAGUUGGGAAGAACACCAGUGGCGAAGGCGGCUAUCUGGACGGUUUCUAGACACGUAAGACAUCGGAAAGCGUGGGGAGCAAACACGG
rnacentral:rRNA from 1 species